CCUCGCAGGGCGGACGGCACGCAGUCGGUGCUGAAUGCAUCCGUGUGAACAGGGAGGGGGCAACUGCGUCAAGUGAGGGGACCAGCGAAGCAAGGCCUGGUACAGGACCACCAGGGACAGCUGGAUGGGCUCACCUGGCUUCAGCGCCUUCCCAGCACACGUAGCACCAGCACAGGUGGGACUGGAUUUCUCCAGGAAGACGGCUGGAACCUGCACGACAGCGGUUCUCACACUCAGUCUGGCUGGCUGAUGCCCACAGGUCGGGGAGGACAGGCAAUUCCUGGGCUGCCCUUCCACUCACACUGUAUUUCCAGAAGGUGGUUAUCUGCAAGUGAGCUCCUGUUCUGAGUGAAGCACUGUGCUAGGGGCUUGGGAGAGGUAGACAGAUUGACCUCAACGUGUUGAUUGAGGCAGAAAGAGGCUGUGCUGGUAAAUGGUUAACCACCAGCUUUCCCCAGGGGAAAUAUACUCAAGUGUAGCCUUUGCAAAUUCCUAUGGUAUAAAUAGUCCCACUGUGGCUGAUUUCAAGGGACCGAUGGGACCUCUUGGGAAGAGAUGCACAGAAGCAGGUCUGAGAACAAGCAGAACCUGGCUCCAGCAUAGCACAUGGCAAGGAAGUUUGAAACAUGUCCUGAAGUAGAAGAAUAAAUGUAAUUCUAUAAUCCCUGAACAGGGGAACAAUUCCUUCUGACUGAGCUUCCCAGGGAAGCUUCAGGGAACAAGUGGUCUUUGGUUUGGGCUGGAGGAAACCCAGGGCUUUCUCUGGGGGAGUCAUACAGGGAGGUCCUCCAGCCAGAGAGAGCAGUCCAAGCGGAGGAUGCGCAGACGUGCCCGGUACAUUGGAGGGCAGGUGCCCUGUGUCAGGACCACAGAGACCAGAUCACAGCGGGCCUUCCAGACUUUGCUAAGGAUUUUGUCCUUUAUCUCAUCAGGAGACAGUGUGGGGGAGACACUGAGGCAUCUUAAGAAAGUGACAUUAUAAGAUAUCACUUUCUUUUGUUGUGAUUUUUGAAUCCUUUCUUAUUUUUUCUAAAAAAUUAUGUACGUUCAUUUCAAAAACAAAUUGACCCAUUCAUGCCUUUUUAAUAUUA